UACGGAAGGUCCGGGCGUUAUCCGGAUUUAUUGGGUUUAAAGGGAGCGUAGGCUGUCUAUUAAGCGUGUUGUGAAAUAUACCGGCUCAACCGGUGGCUUGCAGCGCGAACUGGUCGACUUGAGUAUGCAGGAAGUAGGCGGAAUUCAUGGUGUAGCGGUGAAAUGCUUAGAUAUCAUGACGAACUCCGAUUGCGCAGGCAGCUUACUGUAGCAUAACUGACGCUGAUGCUCGAAAGUGCGGGUAUCAAACAGG
rnacentral:rRNA from 2 species